GCCUCAGUAACGGCGAGUGAAGCGGCAACAGCUCAAAUUUGAAAUCUGGCCUCCUUGGGGGUCCGAGUUGUAAUUUGUAGAGGAUGCUUCGGCGUGGGCCCCGGUCUAAGUUCCUUGGAACAGGACGUCACAGAGGGUGAGAAUCCCGUACGUGGCCGUGGGUGCUCGCCAUGUGAAGCUCCUUCGACGAGUCGAGUUGUUUGGGAAUGCAGCUCUAAAUGGGAGGUAUAUUUCUUCUAAAGCUAAAUAUUGGCCAGAGACCGAUAGCGCACAAGUAGAGUGAUCGAAAGAUGAAAAGCACUUUGGAAAGAGAGUCAAAAAGUACGUGAAAUUGUUGAAAGGGAAGCGCUUGCAACCAGACCUGUCUGCAGUUGCUCAUCCGGGCUUCUGCCCGGUGCACUCUUCUGCAGUCAGGCCAGCAUCAGUUCUGGCGGUCGGAUAAAGGCGGUGGGAAUGUGGCUCCUCUCGGGGAGUGUUAUAGCCCAUCGUGCAAUGCGGCCAGCUGGGACUGAGGUCCGCGCUUCGGCUAGGAUGCUGGCGUAAUGGUUGUAAGCGGCCCGUCUUGAAACACGGACCAAGGAGUCUAACAUCUGUGCGAGUGUUUGGGUGUCAAGCCCAGGCGCGUAAUGAAAGUGAACGGAGGCGGGAACCUUCGGGUGCACCGUCGACCGAUCCUGAUGUCUUCGGAUGGAUUUGAGUAAGAGCAUAGCUGUUGGGACCCGAAAGAUGGUGAACUAUGCCUGAAUAGGGUGAAGCCAGAGGAAACUCUGGUGGAGGCUCGCAGCGGUUCUGACGUGCAAAUCGAUCGUCAAAUUUGGGCAUAGGGGCGAAAGACUAAUCGAA
rnacentral:rRNA from 1 species